AGCACUUAAAUAAUUUUUGGUCAGAAUUAAAAUUUAUCCUGAGAUUAGAAACUUGUUUAUGCAUUCAUGCUGAAGAAAAUUUUAUUUUGUAUUGUUUGCCUCUGGCUUAAAUUUAUUUGCAUUCAAAAUUUUAUUUGCAAAAUGUUUUUUGGAAAACAAAACAGAAAAUAAAAUAAAAAAAACGAAGAAGCCACUCCGUGGCCGUAGGCCGCAGCCCAGCACCCUGUCCCCCAGUGCACGGCCCAUCCGAGCAGGCCAGCCCAUGCUCCCCUCCUUCCCUUCUUUCCACUGCCAGGCGGGCCCCACUUGUCAGCGUCUUUCCCUUCCCUUCCUUUCUUCUUCCUUGAGCGUGGCCAAACCGGACUCCGUCCAGGAACCAAAUCCCGCGUGUCUCGGGAUUUCCUACUCUUGUGCGCACCGAGCCGCAAUAAGCCUCCAGGCCUCUCCCCCCGUGCUUCCCUUUUUCCCAUCUAAUAGAGCCAUAAGUCCCUAGUCGCUGCCCAGCCUUGCUUUUGGAUCUCGCCG
rnacentral:lncRNA from 1 species